ensembl:ncRNA H28G03.7 ncRNA
GAGUACAAUGUGCAGUGUGCUUUACGCGGUGUUAAAGAUAGCUGUGCCACAGGUGGAAAAGAAAAAGAAAACGGGAGA